ensembl:lncRNA
GAAGCGGAAAUGCGUUCAACGUGAUAUGUGACGAGCAUUGUAAACAAAAGUGAAUGUUUAGCUCGCCUGGUAAAAGGAAUGCCGUCUCCGGAGUCGUUAUUGAUUUGAAGCUCCAGGAUGUUGUGUGAAGUCCUGCUGUCGUCGCUAUGGUUCCUGUUUGUUAUCUUUUGGGUCGAGACCAUAAGCGUGUGGCUGUUUCUGUCAAUGUUCUACCAGGACCGGGCCUUUUACCACUGGGGAGAUGGGGUAUUUGCAGAUGAUCCUGGACAGAUGAUAUACAUGUUGAGCAGAGUUGAUGCUCGCAUGGAGAGAGAAAUGCAGACCUGAGAUGGAACAAGAUCUAGGAGUCCACUGAAAGGACUGUCAGUAGAAGGCUGAUGCAGUUAUGUGACUGAAGAACAUAUGGUGAAAGGCAGUAGCUGUUUUUCUUUUGCACUGACUGCCUCGCAUGCAGUCCACUUUUAAUAAUAGGAGGUGGAGUGGUGCAGCAUGAGUGAGUGCACAAACAAAAUGUAGAGGGUCCCUAUUCAUGUGCACAUCAUACCUACAGCUGCAGCUUUUCUAUUUUCACUUUCUGAUUUUGGGCAGGCAGAAUAUCUUGUUUGACAAAGGAUGAGUUCUGGGCAUCUUUCUUCUGUUUCUUUACUUUAUUCUAAAGUUCAUUUUGAUACUUGCAGUGAGAAGGUGUUCUGAUCAUACUGUCCUUCUAUGCAACAACAGUUGUUGCUACUUAUAGCUAUAUUUGUGUUGUCAAAUGUCUGAUUACAGUAAAUCUGUUACCAGUUAGGAAUAUGAAUAUUACUAGCCAUCAUCGGAUGUAUUUUUGAUGCUACAACCUUUAACAAUGAGCUAUUUUUUCACAUUGGAUGUGGUGGAGCAUUGUACUACAGUUUAGUAUAGAUAAUGAAAAAUACAAUGUUAAUAUGUUAAAGGAUUUUUCACAAUGUUUUUCUCACUAAUAAUCCUCACCUACAGUAGAUAAAGUGGAAGCAUUAUUUAAAGGACUUGAAGGUUCAUAUUGACCCUGGAAAUUUUCAGACAUAAUUUUUUGAGAACCUUUAGCAAUAUCCUUUAUCUGCCGCUGGAUUUUGCUCAGUUGCCUUGUAUCCCUUACCGCCGUAAAACUAUUCCCUACAGACUUCACCUUAUAGCAACUAAAACACCAACAUCUGCUGAUGAAGAGAUACAAAUGAAAUGUCUGACAGUGUAUGAAGGAUGAAAUGUAUUCAUAAAAAUGCAUGCAAGAUGAAUAAUUUUGCAGGAACAAUGGAUUUGAAAUGAAACGUGGAGUGAUAAUAAUCAAACAAUUUGAUUAACUUCAAGCCAAUUUGAUUAGAACAGUCAUAAUGUUAUGAAAAUGGUACAAUGUUUAUCCAUUUAUCAUUCACACAAGAAAUGGGAGUUAUAAAAAAAUAUGUGAAAACAAUGGAAGCAAUGAAAAUAGUCACAAUUCAGGAAUGGAAGUUAUUGAAUGUAUGUGAAUUGAAAAAUUGACUAGAUGGAAAUUUUAUUUCAAUACAUUUGCUCAAAUAAAUGUUGAAGAGUUUGUCUUACUUUCUGCUGUCUGCCACUUUUCAGAACACUUGACCUGACAUUUAUAGUUUACAGCAAGCAAUUUUGUAAGCAAAUUCAUCCAUUUUUACUGCUCCAUUUUUUUGAAUUUACAUGCAUUUUUAUGAUUUUUUUUGCUUGUGCCCUUCAUAAAAAUAGAUAAUGAUUUUGAUAUUUUUCUGACAGAAAAGUGCGACAAAGAUGGUGUGUGUGACAAAGAUGAUAGUGGGGAGAAUGUAAAACAUGUCAGUUUUGUAUCCGGUAAUUGAAAUUCAAGGCAAUGUUUUUUUUUUUUUGUUCCCUUUAGUUGUCCUUCAGUUAAAGGGUAUCCCGUUGAACAAAACCAGUGGAGUUUGGUGUCAUUUUGUAACUGAGACAAAUCAUAUUUUCUAUUAAUAUGCUUAAUAAAUUGAAGUUAAGUUUUGACAGAUUAUUCUACACAGACCCUGAACCUUCGAUGCCAGAUCGGUAGAGGUCGCUCAUAUUAAAGCAGAUCCUCAACACACCUGGAGCUCUCAGAUCCCUCGAAUGAAUUUUUACGUCAAUGAUUCGGAUUUGACGCGAAUAAUUGUGUAUUUUGUGGGGGUAUAGAAACUACAGAUCAUCUGUUCUUUCAAUGUAUGUUCACAGAAGCGUUUUGGGCUGAAAUAUAUGACUGGCUUUACACCAAUAUUCUGCUUGAACCCUUUCUUCUGAAAGAUAUCAUUUAUGUUUUUUUUUUUUUUUUUUUUUUUAAUCAGAAAACAAAGAUUAUGACUUCUUGAUUAACAAUACUCUCAUCCUCGGGGAAUUUUUAUAUACACAAAUGCAAAUACAUGAUGGUAAAUCCUAGAUUUUCUGUGUUUCAUAAGGAGUUUCUAUCCUUAACCUUAAAAAAUGAAGACUAAACAUGCCAUGAAACUGUUCAAUUUGAUUGAGAAAUACGAUCUGCAAAAAAAGCCCUAAGUCUUAUUUUUUUCUUUCUUUUUUCUUUUUGCUUUCAUUCUGUUUCAUUUUCUGAUUGCACUUCAUAUAAUUUUCAAGAACUGUCUCCUCUAACAGAUAUAUUCUAUAUUUUACUGCACUGGAAGCACCUGUUCGUUACAAAAAUGCCUUUGUAGACACUGUAUUCCACAAUGUUUUGUUAAAUGAUUUUGUCAAU